CCGCGGUCAAUGCCCGAGGCAGCCUGAGCGCGGCUGGGGCUCGGAAAGCGCCAAGCAGGCAGGGACCGAGAGGGGUGAUGGCGCGCCCACCCCUGCAGAGCCGCCUGCGCGGUUGUCCCGCGCGUCCCUGCCGGCGAAGGCUGUGAGAAGCACCGCGGGGCUACGGCGCCUCCAUCCUCUCUAACAGCCGCGCUUACCAGACAGCCAGCCUCCAGCGCUGCUAGGCUACUCCGAGCAGGGGAGAAAAGACGCCGGUCCGCCGGGGACCAGGAGGGAGACGUGAAACCAGAGGCCCGGGGGCCCCCUCUCCGCCUGUGCGACUUGUAGUCUCGUACCAGACGCGUCCGCUUCACUGCUGAAUCUGAAAACGUGGGCUCUUGAGAGCUGCCCUUGGAAGGAGCUGUGCUUUCUGCCUCAUCUUUAACUUUUCGUUUAUUCAGCAAAUAUGUAUCAAGUUCCGACUUCGUGGAAGAGAUUGUGUUAGACACUGGGAGUAAUAGAAACAUAAUUAAGAAGCAGGGGUCCCGGACCUGAAGGGCCUGAGCGUCGGGUAAGGAGGCAACGCUUACACCGAACCUGUGCUGAGAUAAAUAACGAACAGUUCUGGCUCUUAGAGUUGGCCUGGGGGAACAAAAAUUCAAAAAGAAUAAAACCCCAAACAAACAGGAGGCUCUCCUUUGUCCUUUGAACGCCUCUGUCCCUUUGACCCUCCUGGCCUUGCGUGUGCUGCUUUUCCCAGUAAAUACUGCAAGGACUCUAUUCAGACUUUGUUUAUUUAUAUAUGUAUUUUAGAUGGAGUCUCGCUCUGUUGCCCAGGCUGGAGUGUAGUGGCACAAUCUCGGCUCACUGCAACCUCCGCCUCCUGGGUUCAAGCGAUUCUCCUGCCUCAGGCUCUCAAAUAGCUGGGAUUACAGGCGUGCACCACUAUGCUGGCCUGAUUUUUUGUAUUUUUAGUAGAGACGGGGUUUCGCCAUGUUGGCCAGGCUGGUCUUGAACUCUUGGCCUCAAGUGAUCCGCCCCCCUUCAGCCUCCCAAAGUGCUGGGAUUCCAGGCGUGAGCCACCGGGCCCGGCCUCAAUUCAGACUUUAUCUGCUUCAAGAAACCUCUCUGGGAUCCUCCGUCACUUCACUUUUUCAGGCAGCGUUAGGGCCUUGUCCUAACGCUUUGGGACGGGGUCCUAAUACUGUCUGAAGGAGCGAAGUGUUGGAAUGCUCAAACAGUACACUUCGUUGAUUUUGUACUGCCUCCUGUACCCUAGACUUUGAACCCUUUGAGACAGAUUAAAUGUGAUUUUGGUCUUGUAUUCCUCGCUGCCGUGUGCUGCUGAUUAAAAGUUUUUAUUUUG
rnacentral:lncRNA from 10 species